rnacentral:rRNA from 1 species
UACGUAGGGGGCUAGCGUUGUCCGGAAUCAUUGGGCGUAAAGAGCGUGUAGGCGGUCCGGUAAGUCCGCUGUGAAAGUCGGGGGCUCAACCCUCGAAUGCCGGUGGAUACUGUCGGGCUAGAGUGCGGAAGAGGCGAGUGGAAUUCCUGGUGUAGCGGUGAAAUGCGCAGAUAUCAGGAGGAACACCAGUGGCGAAGGCGCCACUCUGGGCCGUAACUGACGCUGAGGAGCGAAAGCGUGGGUAGCAAACAGG